rnacentral:rRNA from 1 species
GGACGGUUAAUUUAACUUACGUAGUCGACAACGACGAAGACCUUACCAAGGCUUGACAUACACCGGUAACGCCCAGAGAUGGGUGCCCCUUUGUGGUCGGUGUACAGGUGGUGCAUGGUUGUCGUCAGCUCGUGUCGUGAGAUGUUGGGUUAAGUCCCGCAACGAGCGCAACCCUCGUCCUAUGUUGCCAGCGGGUCAUGCCGGGGACUCAUGGGAGACUGCCGGGGUCAACUCGGAGGAAGGUGGGAUGACGUCAAAUCAUCAUGCCCCUUAUGUCUUGGGCUUCACGCAUGCUACAAUGGCCGGUACAAAGGGCUGCGAUACCGCGAGGUGGAGCGAAUCCCAGAAAGCCGGUCUCAGUUCGGAUUGGGGUCUGCAACUCGACCCCAUGAAGUCGGAGUCGCUAGUAAUCGCAGAUCAGCAACGCUGCGGUGAAUACGUUCCCGGGCCUU